rnacentral:rRNA from 1 species
GGAGGGUGCAAACGUUGCUCGGAAUCAUUGGGCGUAAAGCGCAUGUAGGCGGUCUAUCAAGUCGGAUGUGAAAGCCCCGGGGCUCAACCUGGGAAGUGCAUUCGAAACUGGUGGACUUGAGUACGGGAGAGGGUCGCGGAAUUCCCGGUGUAGAGGUGAAAUUCGUAGAUAUCGGGAGGAACACCAGAGGCGAAGGCGGCGACCUGGACCGAUACUGACGCUGAGAUGCGAAAGCGUGGGGAGCAAACAGGAUUAGAUACCCUGGUAGUCCACGCUGUAAACGAUGAGUGCUAGGUGUCGCGGGUAUUGACCCCUGCGGUGCCACAGCUAACGCACUAAGCACUCCGCCUGGGGAGUACGGCCGCAAGGCUA